rnacentral:lncRNA from 1 species
AUCUCUUUCCCUAAUUAGAUCUAAUUACCCAUCCCCCCAACCCUUCAUUCUCACCAGCCUGUCUCUAUCUCUCUAACCUAUGCUCUCUAACCUCUCAUCUCUCUAGAACCUUCUGGUUCUCUCCGUCUUCUCCGAUGACGACCAUCGCCUCUCCGGCUCACUCCUCCUUCACUUCUCUCAAUCUCCAGCAACCAUGGAGUCCCUGUAUCGCUAUUUUCUCUCUAAAUUUUGAAGCCACCUCUCCGGCUCACUCCUCCCUCACCUCUCUCGAUCUCCAGCAACCAUGGAGUCCAUGUAUCACCAUCUUCUCUCCAAAGCUUAAAAACCCAGAAGCCUCCACCAUGAAUAUGGUUACUGGAGCCUUGUCAAGGUCCGAUUCCGGCCUUUCUCCGAUGGAUUUUGGUUCGAUGAUGCUAAAAACGUCAUUAUCUUUGAGCUUCACAACCAGG